CGCGUACCUAGACCAUCAUAACCCGAGGAUCACAUAGAUUAUGCAGAUGUGACUCCGGCUGUGAAGAACGCGAAAGAGCGGCCACAGUUCAAACCCGUACCGGUUGCUGUAGAAAACCCAGAAUACAUGGACUCCGCUACCAAUCAAGAGGAAGCCGAGCGAUUGCGGGCGACAGGUGGCAGCACCAGUUCGGAGGCGUCGGCUGCCGACCACGCCUACUACAACGACUUCGACAGCAUGCAGAAGCGAGACCGGCGCCUGAUCAAACCUCUCACUAAGAACGAGACGUCCGUGUGAGCUGUCGGCGCUCGUCUAACCCCCCCCCCCCGCCGCGCCAUCGCCGGCCCUGCCACGCGGAGCGCUAGACUGACGCCUGUCUCGUGCACGGUGCCAUGACGAGGUGGCUGCAAUGUAGUCCGGCACCCAUCUAGCUCG